GAAAAAAAAGCUUUGGAAGCGAAUUUAGAAAGAUUUUUGUAGAAAAGAGAAGGAUCUGAGAUCGGAUUAUUAAAAAAUUUAGCUAAUUCAGACCAUGAUAUAAAUAUCUGAAAGCAAUCAAAGGGUUGAUGGAAAAGCUUAUCGUCUUGUUGGAAAAAUCGACUUUUCCACGUUGAGCUGGAGAAAAAAACAUUCAGUACAAAAUAAGUUGCAUGGAAUGGAGACGGAAAUGGUUUAGAUCCAGAUACUGGCCUAGAGCCUGAUCGGUUUGCAGAUAAGCUACGUCCAGAUCGGCUAAGUGAAGUUGAUGAUGACGAUAUUAAGGCUUUCAUCUUAUAUUUGGAUAACGCUUAUGAUAUGCAUCGCAAACUCAAUGAAUUUAAUCAGUUUUUGAAGAAAGUCGUAACUGGAGAUGAAAAAUUAAUUGUUUACAACAACGUUAGUCGAAAACGAGUUUGGUCCAAGCAUGAUGAAACGCCCCAAACCACUUCAGAGGCUGAUAUUCAUUAAAAGAAGAUUAUGCUGUCCGUUUGGUGGGAUAGGACGGAUGUGGUAUAUUUUGAGUUUCUCCCAAAAACCAAACGAUUAGUUCGAAUAUCUACUGUGAACAACUGAACAAAUUGAGUACAACCAUCAACGGAAAGCGGCCAGAAUCAGUCAAUCGCAAAGGUGUCAUAUUGAACCAGGAAAAUCCUAGACCACACUCAUCUUUGCCCUUUCCCCAAAAACUGAGAGAGCUUGGCUGGGAACUUUUGAGGUAUUCACUAGAUAUCACUGACCUUUCAGAACUCAUGAAAUAGUAAAACUGAAAUAUGAGAUGAGAUGGCGAAAGAUCAUCAUCCACUAAAGUUCAUUGUGAAACAGACGGCCAAUAAAGAGUAUUAUUUGAGAGUUUUGUGGCGUUUGCAAGGAAACAUCCAUCAUAAACGGCCGAAAUUGUUGGUCAACAGUUUCCUGAAACUUUCAUGACGAUAAUGCGCCAUCGCACCGAUCUGUAGUUGUGAACGAUUUUUAGACCAAAAACUCGUCCAAUACCAUUGAUUAAGCACCGUAUUCACCGGAUUUGACCCCAUGCGAUUUUCUGUUUGUUUCCAAAACUCCAGCUACCGAUCCGUGGAACCCGUUUCGGCUCGAUUAAGCCCGUAAAAGAAUAUUCGCAGAGGGAACUGAGACUAACUGAUUUCAAUACCUGAUGCAAACAAACUGGUUGACAGAUCGCGCUCAUUUUUGGCAUAGUAAUUAAGGACAGCGCUACGAACUUAACCCAAAAAUGUGCUGAAAAAUAUUCAGCGCAGGCAGGUUAAUUGACAAUAUCCGGAAACUUUCAGGUAUAAUCGGUCAUCUAGCCACACUUUAUCAAAUGUCAAAUCUUAUCAUGCCAACCGUUAUCAUGCGACAGGUUGCUUUUUCGCAAAAGAAUUGCAAGUGUCGCAGUCUAAUUUGAAAUGCAUUCAUUAAUCCGUCAGCGCAGAUAAAUUGAUUGUUUUGUUGCAGUUUACCUGAGAGAUUUUGUACUGCGUAAUAUUCAAUUAAAAAAGAAGGAAAACCUUUUAGUUUUGAUAUUAGUUCUUCCUUUAAUUUGAACAAAAAUUUAUGUGCAUAAUUUGAUUUAAAAAAAAAAAAAUUCGAAAACUUUAUACAGCUUUGCUUUUAAUUGAGAAACCCUUCGCAUUCAGUAUAAAAUCGAGCAAAUGUCCCUUUUUGUAGUUUGAUAGCAGAAAAAUUAUUUCUUUUUUGCUUUGAUAUUUUUCCAAAAAAAAAAAAAAAAAAAACAAGGAAACUCGUUUCGAAUUUCCCUCUGCACAAAGAUGCCAGAGCAAGGCUUGCUAAAGGCAGCAUCAACGAAAGAAAUGCAAAUUCUUUUUCACCGGAAAAAGUGUGAAACUAUUGUAGGAAUGGAAGCAACAACAAAAACAGCUACAGUAUGACAGUAGUGUGGAGGCGUCCAGGUGCCACAAACAGCAUAAGAAAUGACAACAACGAGCAAUGAGCGACGUGGAACGAGGAAUGAAUCGGAAAAAAUCAGCACCACAAGCAGAUAACUGUGAAAUGGCUGCAGAGGCAAUGCCGUCAGCGGUGUCAACAAAGGCUGUGGUUUCCCGCUGUUGCUGUUGGAGUUGCGGAGAGGAAAAGAGAGAACAGAAGAGAGAGUAGAGGCGUUCGCACUGUCAACUGCAAUUGCAGGAUAUUGAAGAAAAGAUGUUAUAAAACGUGAAUGCUGAAGAAUGUGCUGCUCCAAAAUAAAUAAAAAAAAUUGCUGACAACUGCAAAAAUACGUUUGCACACACUCAUCGUACACAAAUACAAAUACAAACAAACAAAAUUGUCCGCUAUUUGUGCAAACACUUGGUCAGCAAGAAUUGGCAUUUUUCAACGGUGACUUUUCAAUAUUUGAUGAGUACAAAUUGGACAAUUGCGACAAGUGAUUCCUUCGUCUUUUGUUAUGUCUUAUUUUCAAGCGAUAAUUUUCUCUCUUCUUCACCUCAUGAUUUGAUUUGUGCGUUUUUUUCCUCAGUAAUGUGAUUGAGUUUUAAAGAACAGUUAAAAUAGAAUGGGUGUAGAUGGAGAUAAGAAGUUGCAUAUUGUAGAUAUUUAUGUUUGUAUUAUUUAUUUAUUAUAUAUAUAUGUACGUUUAUACAUCUCAGAACGAUUUUUAUGUAUUUUACUAAAGCUCCUAGCGACUCAUUGUAGAAGGGAAAUUUUCAUUUCUGAAUAAGCACUUUUAAUGAUUUAGUUGCUAGGUUAUGUUAAGGGAUAAAGCCAAAAUAGAC
rnacentral:lncRNA from 1 species